rnacentral:ncRNA from 2 species
CUUGAAACUGUGAACGGACCAAAUUAAUUUAAGGGAAACAGAGAGCUGACGUUUGGUGGAAGUCAGACCGUUAAAAUUAAUGGCACAUCCGUGAGUUGAUUAUCUGAACCAAUAGUAAGAUAAUCCGUUAGCCCGUUAUCGCUGUAGUUUUAAAACUACAUAAGUUUAGACGAUGUGAGUCGUUUAUUAAACUGAGGUGGAACCGCGAUAAAUUCGUCCUCUUG